GAUUAUGAGGGCUAUCUGGCUACGACAUCUGUCACUCCAUUGAUUGGGCUGAUACGGGCUAAUCUGCGUCCCCUCCCUUCCUCACUGCUUUAUAGGAGUCCCUCCUAAAACUGCCAGCUCAGGGGAAAAGGACCCCUUCCCAGAUGGCAGGAUGUUUCUUUGGGCAAGGUCUAUGAGUAUCUGUGCUCCCCUGCUAAAACCUCCAAAACAAGUUCUCAGUACAAAAUAGUUCCUUCUCUACUUUCUUUUCAUGGCAUGAGUGAACCCUUGAAAUUCAUGGGGGUUAUGUUC
ensembl:misc_RNA 7SK 7SK RNA